GAUGAACGCUGGCGGCGUGCCUAAUACAUGCAAGUCGAGCGAACAGACGAGGAGCUUGUUCCUUUGACGUUAGCGGCGGACGGGUGAGUAACACGUGGAUAACCUACCUAUCAUUCUGGGAUAACUUCGGGAAACCGGAGAUAAUACCGGAUCACAUGAUGAACCGCUGGGUGCAACGGUGAAUGACGGUCUUGCUGUCACUAAUAGCUGGUUCCGCGCUGCAUUAGCUAGUUGGUAAGGUAACGGCUUACCAAGGCUACGAUGCGUAGCCGACCUGAGAGGGUGAUCGGCCACACUGGAACUGAGACACGGUCCAGACUCCUACGGGAGGCAGCAGUAGGGAAUCUUCCGCAAUGGGCGAAAGCCUGACGGAGCAACGCCGCGUGAGUGAAGAAGGUCUUCGGAUCGUAAAGCUCUGUUAUUAGGGAAGAACAAAUGUGGAAGUAACUAUGGACGUCUUGACGGUACCGAAUCAGAAAGCCACGGCUAACUACGUG
rnacentral:rRNA from 1 species